ensembl:lncRNA
UGAGGAGGUGCUAGGAGGAGCCUUCGGGGUGAUAGCGGUGCAAUGGCAAGGAGAGGAAUGUCCAUCAGCAUCAAGGUUUCUCAGGAGGCAGAGCACUGUGUGCCCUCAUUUCCCCCUGAAGCCCUACAGGAUGUUGCCCUGUAGCAAUGCUUCACACAGACCGCUCCUGGACUGGCACUACAGCCCUGCAGAGAGCUUGGCUGGAGAAACACAGCCCUGAUCAGCCUAUCCAUGGCCUCGUGGAUGGAGGCUUAUUUUUCAGGCAAGGUUUCCCUGCCUGUCUGAGAACCAUGGGAUGCCCCGGAUACCAAAAGCCCAAGAGGAGGGGGUGAGGAUGAAGGCUAAGAUCCAAAACCCAGGAGGACUUUCACCUGCUCCAGCCUGUGCAAGGCUUUGACCACAGGAAUAUGACCGUGGAGGUGACAUUUACAUUUAAACACAGAUAGCUUGUUUGCAGGUAGCUGAAACAAAAUCUCCUGCCACAGCCCUGACCUGUAUCCCCGAACAAAGCAUCCCUUAUUCAGUGGAUAAGCAAAGGGGAACAUCGGUUUUCAGAUUAUCUGCAUCCCAGCGUUCCCUCGGAGGGGGACAUGGCGAUGGAAGGUCUCUGUUCGGUGACCCAACAACAGGGCCUUUAUUGCCAGGCAGGGAUGAAAGGCCCAUCACAGCUGCUGGCUCAGCCCGUCCGUGACAGAGCGUGUUUGCACAAACAAUGCUGAAAUUAAAGCCCCCGAGUUCAAAACCUCAUUGUCUGAAAAGCACUUCAUGAAUCCAUCCCCCUCCUUUUCUAAUAAAAAAGGGGUGCGUUUUCUUCCUGCCGCGACAGAAGGUAGUUCUACAUCAUGCUGGUCCUACAAGUGUUGGUAAAUUGCUUUUUGAUGGGUGAAGCAAAGCGUGUGUGGGGUGCCCAUGGACUGGCUGGUGGUGAGUGAGAGUGGUGGUGAAUGGAGCUCCUUCCAGUUGGUGACUGGUCAUGAGUGGUGUUCCCCAGGGGUCGGUGCUGGGGCCCGUGCUCUUCAAUAUCUCUACUGAUGGCCUGGAUGAGGGCACUGAGUGCACCCUCAGUACGUUUGCAGAUGGAUGACACCAAGCUGGGGAAAGUGUGGGUCUGCCUGGGGUUAGGAAGGCCCUACGGAGGGAUCUGGGCAGGCUGAUCACUGGGCUGAGGCCAAUGGGAUGGAGUUCAAGAAGAUCGAGUGCCGGGUCCUGUGCUUUGGCCACAGCAACCCCAUGCAAUGCUGCAGGUGUGGGACAGUGGCUGGAAGCUGUGGGAGGAAAAGGAGCUGGGGCUUAUCUGCCCUAUCAGGAUCUGAAUGUAAGAUAUGGGAAAGACAAAGUCCUCCUUGCAGAACUAGCCAGCUCCUGGGCUCACGGAGAAGAUGCCGAGCAGAGCAGAGGGAUAAGAAUAAGAAUUGGUUUUUCCCAAAGGCAAAAUGAGUCGAAGGUCAGAGCUGCCCCACGUGCUGCCCAUCCCUGCCUGGAGCAGCUCAAGAUUUCUGGCCCCAGAUCUUCCAAGGAGAUUUUUACCAGGCAGUUCAUAGUGUCACGUCAAGAGCUGAGACCACCCAGCUCUUCCCAAUGCUCUGUUUGUGGUCUCUCAUCACCAAAGUGCCAUGCUCACAGCCCAGAUGGGUUUACGUCUGUUUUAGAGCCCAGAGGCCAGAGUGAUCUCCCAGAAGAAAUCUAAGCAGGGUGUGAAAUAACAGGAGGAUGCAAAGAGCCUGGACAAAGGAUGUCAUUCUGCAAGCCAAGCUGUAUUGGCAGAGCUCCUGCUACCUCUUCAUGGUCACCAGCAGGGAAAUGGACCCACUUGACUGGCUGCACUGGUUGGGCCAGGAUUAGCUGCAAAAGCUUCUUGUCCCUGGGCUCCCAUGGUGCCGGGGCAGGGCAAAACCCAAAUUAACUUCAGCAAUAAGCAAACAAAUCCCUAACGAUGGAGGAGGGGCAGGGCUGGGUGCACAGCUGGGCAGAGCAGAGAUGACUUCUCAACCUGUGGUCAGAGCAGGGCUGGGUACAGCAUCAUCAGAGCAUCCUGUAUUCCUAACGCAGGAGCACGGGCUGCACCCUGGCUGCGGGGCGAGACGGUGUCCUAUUAAUUGAUUUUGCCAACCUCAGAAGUUGAAAAGCAUUUUGCCUUCAUCCUCUGGAAUGCAAAACGCAUCCUCUUCCUCUCCAACCACGGUGGGCUCCACGGAGCAGAGAGCUGAUUCGUUUAGUUAAAACAGAUUAAAAUAGCUCGAGGAUCUUCAUGUUCAGUGAGCAAUGCUGGGGACAAGCAGGAGGACGCUGCAGGCACAUUCCAUACAUCGUGCCAGUAAGUCCAAACCAUCUCCCCAGCAAGGUUUGGACUCACCCAAAAGACAGUGGAGCCCAUGUAAAAAUCCUCCCUUCAAUCCAGGUUUUUUUUUAAACCCCCAAAGAGCCCAUUUGGACCCAUUUCAUGAGCUGUCUCACAGCAGAGGGUGG